AUUGAACGCUGGCGGCAGGCCUAACACAUGCAAGUCGAACGGUAACAGGAAGAAGCUUGCUUCUUUGCUGACGAGUGGCGGACGGGUGAGUAAUGUCUGGGAAACUGCCUGAUGGAGGGGGAUAACUACUGGAAACGGUAGCUAAUACCGCAUACGCUUGGGAGACCGCAUGAUCUACCAAGGAAAGGGUGGCCUCUACCUGUAAGCUAUCGCCUGAAGAGGGGUUUGCGUCUGAUUAGGCAGUUGGUGAGGUAACGGCCCACCAAACCUACGAUCAGUAGCCGGUCUGAGAGGAUGAACGGCCACACUGGAACUGAGACACGGUCCAGACUCCUACGGGAGGCAGCAGUGGGGAAUCUUCCGCAAUGGGCGAAAGCCUGACGGAGCAACGCCGCGUGAGUGAUGACGGCCUCGGUUGUAAAGCUCUGUGAUCGGGGACGAACGGUCCGUAAGCUAAUACCUAUGGAAGUGACGGUACCCGAAU
rnacentral:rRNA from 1 species